rnacentral:rRNA from 1 species
UGGGGAAUAUUGGACAAUGGGGGCAACCCUGAUCCAGCAAUACCGCGUGAGUGAAGAAGGCCUUCGGGUUGUAAAGCUCUUUUACCGGGGAAGAUAAUGACGGUACCCGGGGAAUAAGCUCCGGCUAACUUCGUGCCAGCAGCCGCGGUAAUACGAAGGGAGCUAGCGUUGUUCGGAAUUACUGGGCGUAAAGGGCGCGUAGGCGGUUUUGUAAGUCAGAUGUGAAAGCCCCGGGCUUAACCUGGAACUGCAUUUGAGACUGCAAGACUAGAGAUCGAGAGAGGAAAGUGGAAUGACGGGUGUAGAAGUGAAAUUCGGAGAUAUUCGUAGGAACACCGGUGGCGAAGGCGACUUUCUGGCUCGACCCUGACGCUAAAGCGCGAAAGCGUGGGGAGCAAACA